rnacentral:rRNA from 1 species
CGACCUCAGGGCAGGCGAGGCUACCCGCUGAAUUUAAGCAUAU